rnacentral:rRNA from 1 species
GGUCAAGCUACUAAGGGUGUGUGUGUGGAUGCCUUGGCGCAAGUAGGCGAUGAAGGACGUGGUCAGCUGCGAAAAGCUCCGGGAAGUCGCUAACAGGCUGUGAUCCGGAGAUGUCCGAAUGGGGCAACCC